rnacentral:rRNA from 1 species
UACGAAGGGGGCUAGCGUUGCUCGGAUUUACUGGGCGUAAAGGGCGCGUAGGCGGUUCGUACAGUCAGACGUGAAAUUCCUGGGCUCAACCUGGGGGCUGCGUUUGAUACGUGCGGACUUGAGUGCGGAAGAGGGUCGUGGAAUUCCCAGUGUAGAGGUGAAAUUCGUAGAUAUUGGGAAGAACACCGGUGGCGAAGGCGGCGACCUGGUCCGAUACUGACGCUGAGGCGCGAAAGCGUGGGGAGCAAACAGG